AAAAACUUAGUGUUGCAGCAUAUUUUGUUUUGGUCAAAAGGGUGGUUUAGUUGAUACCAGUUUUUA
rnacentral:tRNA from 1 species